rnacentral:rRNA from 1 species
UUCGCCCUUAGAGUUUGAUCCUGGCUCAGGACGAACGCUGGCGGCGCGCCUAACACAUGCAAGUCGAACGGAACUUGAGAGAGCUUGCUUUUUAAGUUUAGUGGCGAACGGGUGAGUAACGCGUGAGUAACCUGCCCUGGAGUGGGGGACAACAGUUGGAAACGACUGCUAAUACCGCAUAAGCCCACAGUGCCGCAUGGCACAGCGGGAAAAGGAUUUAUUCGCUUCAGGAUGGACUCGCGUCCAAUUAGCUAGUUGGUGAGGUAACGGCACACCAAGGCGACGAUUGGUAGCCGGACUGAGAGGUUGAACGGCCACAUUGGGACUGAGACACGGCCCAGACUCCUACGGGAGGCAGCAGUGGGGGAUAUUGCACAAUGGGGGAAACCCUGAUGCAGCGACGCCGCGUGGAGGAAGAAGGUUUUCGGAUUGUAAACUCCUGUCGUUAGGGACGAUAAUGACGGUACCUAACAAGAAAGCACCGGCUAACUACGUGCCAGCAGCCGCGGUAAAACGUAGGGUGCAAGCGUUGUCCGGAAUUACUGGGUGUAAAGGGAGCGCAGGCGGACCGGCAAGUUGGAAGUGAAAUCUAUGGGCUCAACCCAUAAAUUGCUUUCAAAACUGCUGGCCUUGAGUAGUGCAGAGGUAGGUGGAAUUCCCGGUGUAGCGGUGGAAUGCGUAGAUAUCGGGAGGAACACCAGUGGCGAAGGCGACCUACUGGGCACCAACUGACGCUGAGGCUCGAAAGCAUGGGUAGCAAACAGGAUUAGAUACCCUGGUAGUCCAUGCCGUAAACGAUGAUUACUAGGUGUUGGAGGAUUGACCCCUUUCAGUGCCGCAGUUAACACAAUAAGUAAUCCACCUGGGGAGUACGACCGCAAGGUUGAAACUCAAAGGAAUUGACGGGGGCCCGCACAAGCAGUGGAGUAUGUGGUUUAAUUCGAAGCAACGCGAAGAACCUUACCAGGUCUUGACAUCCGAUGCAUAGUGCAGAGAUGCAUGAAGUCCUUCGGGACAUCGAGACAGGUGGUGCAUGGUUGUCGUCAGCUCGUGUCGUGAGAUGUUGGGUUAAGUCCCGCAACGAGCGCAACCCUUAUUGCCAGUUACUACGCAAGAGGACUCUGGCGAGACUGCCGUUGACAAAACGGAGGAAGGUGGGGAUGACGUCAAAUCAUCAUGCCCUUUAUGACCUGGGCUACACACGUACUACAAUGGCGUUUAACAAAGAGAAGCAAGACCGCGAGGUGGAGCAAAACUCAAAAACAACGUCUCAGUUCAGAUUGCAGGCUGCAACUCGCCUGCGUGAAGUCGGAAUUGCUAGUAAUCGCGGAUCAGCAUGCCGCGGUGAAUACGUUCCCGGGCCUUGUACACACCGCCCGUCA